GCCUUGUUGGAGUAGGUGUGUUACGAUGGGUGUGGGCUUAAGACCCUCAUCCUAGCUUCCUGGAAGUGAAUAUUCUGCUAGCAGCCUUCAGGCCCUGAUGGAAAAGGCCAUGGAUUGAUGGAAACUGCAAGGAAGAGAAUCCACUCAGCUCAGGAGAUAGAGGAAUUGGAAACAGGAAUCUUCCAGAGUUAACACCGAGCUGUGAUCUUCGCGAGUUCCCGCUAAAAGGCUGAACUAUCUACUUCUAAGGAACUUGCUUGGCCAGGGACGGGCCUCCCCUUUUCUUUAUAAAGCGUGUUUGCUGACAUUAAAAUUGAACCUUGAG
rnacentral:lncRNA from 1 species